GUCCUAGAUCUCUGAGCCCACAGCUCUGGCAAGACGUGGGCACCAGCGUGGAUGACUUCAGCUUAUAUUUUCUAAAGGUCACUCUGAAUCCUGCGGGCUCUUGGGCCAAAGCUCCAAACAUCGCUGCUGCCACAGCUUGCAGUGGGGGAAGUACAGGUUCCUCCCAGACAGAAGUGAGCCCAAGUCUUCCCAGACCUGGUUCCUAUGGAGACCUGGAGACCGGUCCCCAGGAGCUACCAGAUGAGAUUUUACUGGGGUGAAGACCUGAGGCUAUACCAUGGGCACACAGGACACGUGUGGUUACCAUACUCUGGCUAUUCCAUAUUAUAACCAUUCCAAAGUGUGCUAGGUGAUGAUUUUAUUAAGUCCAGUGAUAGGAAAGACUGGGAACACUCAAGACAUUUAUUUAGUAAAACAGUGCUCUGUCCUAGAGGGUUAAGGCACAUGUGGUAAUUAAAAAACUCAAAGGCUCAAAUGGAAA
rnacentral:lncRNA from 1 species